UGGUUUGAGAGGCUGAAGCUGCCAGCAUGAUCUGGUAAUGAACCAUUAUAGCUAUAUCAUUCUUCCUUUUUCAUAUAAUUUGUUUUUUGGGUUUUAUAUGUACGUAUAUUAUAUUAUUCUGCCUCUUUGUAGCCUUUUGUAUAGGUAUCAAUUAAGAUAUAUACCAGAUUACCAAUAGUCAAGUAGAUUUGUGUGGAACCAGUUUUUUGGACCAAAAUCUUGAACCUAGAUGAGUUAUGUUCGGUGUUUAAAAUGUUUUUUUAGAACAAGGGUGUUGUCCAUUUUGUCGAAGAGGUUUAGUUUUGCCAAGGAAUUUAGAUGUAAUUUAGUGAGAAACCCAGCAGCUUUGGAGCAUAUAUAGCUUCAUAUGGAUAGAUAUAUAUGGUUCACCAUCAUCAGGUCAUCUUGCAGCUUCAAUCACUCAAUCA
rnacentral:pre_miRNA from 1 species